AUUGAACGCUGGCGGCAGGCCUAACACAUGCAAGUCGAGCGGGGUUUUCGGACCUAGCGGCGGACGGGUGAGUAAUGCGUAGGAAGCUGCCCGAUAGAGGGGAUACCAGUUGGAAACGACUGUUAAUACCGCAUAAUGUCUACGGACCAAAGUGUGGGACCUUCGGGCCACAUGCUAUCGGAUGCGCCUACGUGGGAUUAGCUAGUUGGUGAGGUAAUGGCUCACCAAGGCGACGAUCUCUAGCUGGUUUGAGAGGAUGAUCAGCCACACUGGAACUGAGACACGGUCCAGACUCCUACGGGAGGCAGCAGUGGGGAAUAUUGGACAAUGGGCGCAAGCCUGAUCCAGCCAUGCCGCGUGUGUGAAGAAGGCCUUCGGGUUGUAAAGCACUUUCAGCGAGGAGGAAGGGUGGUGUGUUAAUAGCACAUCAUCUUGACGUUACUCGCAGAAGAAGCACCGGCUAACUCUGUGCCAGCCGCCGCGGUAA
rnacentral:rRNA from 1 species